rnacentral:tRNA from 1 species
GCCCCUGUAGCUCAGUUGGUUAGAGCGCUGCACUGGAAUCGCAGGGCAGCAGGUUCGAUUCCUGCCAGGGACU